CAAAAACAACGGAGUGAUUACACUCUUCAUUGCUUGAGGAACCGACGGCCGUAGUUUCCGUGUGAGGAUAAAAACUGUUUACAAAAGUUAAAGUAAAUAAGAAAAUUUAAUUUUUUGUUGGUAUAAUGGUUAUGGCGGACAGAAAUGUCGUAGAUAUAAGAAAUGGAAGGCGUUCUCGUUGUGCUAGUCCGAAUGACUUUUCAGACGACGACAGCGCCGACUCUGAUCGUGAGGGUGGUGGAAUGAGAGUUGGACAUGAUUUCCAAGCAACAGUUCCAGAGUUCACCCCAGAUUUAAGACCAGAUCAACGAAAUGAAGCCAUCUUGGUGUGGGCUCCUGGGAGUGAGCUGUCUGAUAUCAAUGUUGAUGAUUACGUUACAAUAGCAAAGGAGAAGCAUGGUUACAAUACAGAACAAGCCCUUGGUAUGCUGUUUUGGCAUAAACACAACAUCGAGAAAGCUCUAGCAGACCUGCCCAACUUUACCCCGUUCCCUGAUGAAUGGACUGUGGAGGAUAAAGUACUAUUUGAACAGGCAUUCAGCUUUCAUGGGAAGAGUUUUCACCGCAUCAGACAAAUGUUGCCAGACAAAUCCAUUGCUAGCCUUGUCAAGUACUACUACUCAUGGAAGAAAACCCGGUCACGAACAAGUCUAAUGGACAGACAAGCAAAGAAACUCACAAAAGCGGGUGACAGUGAUGAAUCUGGGGAUGAAAACAAUAAACCAACAGAAAAUGGUAAAGAAGACUCUAAGGAAAAUGAGAAAGAAGACAGAGAAUUCUACCAUGAAAGGAGAACAGGUGUGAUAAGGUCAAAGCGACAUGACCAUGGCCACAGUCGACACAAUCCUAUGAAACACAAAAGAAAGCCUCCGCGCGGAAUGUUCAUCAACACAGAGGAUUUACAGCUAGUUGGUAAUGGUUUGUCUGGUCAGGCCGAGGCUCUGCUCAAGGCACUGGAUGGAGAGUUGGUCUCAAUCAAACGACAGGUACAGAAUAAUAAACAGAUAAUUAGCAUGCAGAAACACAAGCUGACCUGUGGCAUAGAUGAACUGAAACCUCCAGAGAGUAAUCAACGUAUAAAUGCAAAAUGGACAAAUGAGGAGUUAUUACUAGGGGUUCAAGGUGUCAGAAAAUAUGGAAAAGACUUUCAGGCUAUUGCUGAAGUGAUAGGAAAUAAGACAGAAGCACAUGUACGAAGUUUCUUUGUAAACUUUCGACGGCGAUAUAAUUUAGAUGAAGUCCUUGCAGAGUAUGAAGCAGAACAUGGGACAGACAGCACUAGGGAUGAUGAGGAAACAAAAGAUGAGGAAAAGAUGGAAACUGACACAAAUGAGAUAGAAAUGAAUGGUAUCGGUACAGAUGACAAGAAUGGGACAUCUGCCACCUCAACAGCACCCCCACCUCUCCUCAAACAAGCUCAGGGAUCUGUUAGCCUGCGGGUGCCAUCAGUACCUCAACACUCCAGAUUACUUCCUCCCCAGAGAACGAUAUUACAUCAACCCCCACCACUGAUUGCUGGCCGUCCCAACUCUUCCUCUCCGUCUAACACCACAAAAUCCAUCAGUGCCUCGUGAUAUAAACAAUGGACUGCCACGUAUCGGGUCUUGUGUAACGGUUAUGGACUAAUAACUCCAAGGAACGAACAGCUUACAUUUAAGCAAUGUGCAGAAUGACUAGUGCUAAAAGGUACAUCUGGAAAUGUACUACCGUAUGUAGAAGAACAUGAGAAGUGUGCUAAGAGUGCUAAGCUCUUUGGAGACAUAACACACCAUAUAGAAUGCCCAACUCUAAUUAUGAGCAUAGUGUGUUGUGUGUACAGAAAGUCUAAACUCUGAUCAGGAUAUAAAAAAAAAAUGUGUGCAAGAGACUUUACAGUGCCUACUACAGGUGACCUCAAUAGAAAAAUAAACCGGUUACUUACCACAGAAGUACCAAAAAUUCCAAAAGCAAUUCUGGCUGUAUCAUUAUCAUGGUAUGAUAGGUGAUAAAUAACUACUUUUGUCCAUGUCUGACUUAAGAAAAUAGUUAAUUUUCUGGUCAGUCUGAAUUUUGCAUGAUGGUGGCUUGCAUGAAUUUAUUGGUGUUAUUGGUGUGUUAAUGAGAGGAAUCCAUUGUCUACAUGCUGUAUACAAUUAUUUGAAUGGAUUUUUUAAUUUUGUAAUUGAUAGCUGGUAUAUGUUUUUUCUUCUAUUUUUAACCAUUUCAAUUGCAUUAAUUUGAUCAAGUGCAAUAAUUUAUCUACUGUCCCACGAUCUUGUUUCUGUAGCCUCAUUUAUUAGUCCUCGUAUACUUUCUAAUAGUGCAAGCCACAUUUUCACAAAAAUUCUAAACUUCUUGAUGCUUCAAUUUUUCUGCUUGCAGUUUAUUUGUCGUUCAAGUUGAAUUAUGAUCUAGAUUUUAAAUACACGUACCUCAUAAAUACUAUAAAAAAAUACAUGUACAUCUUUCACACCCCACUUUCCAGUAAAAUGUCAAUCCCACCCCAAGACUCGUGGUUUUAUGGUGGGGCAACCAUUAUCAACUCUAAUUGCAAAACAUUAAUAGUCAGGAGACCCAACUAUGGAUAAAAGUAGUUAAUUGAAGUCCUAGGGUAAGGUUUUAUUUUUUACUGAAAUAGUGAUAAGAGUAUUUGUGUAAAAGUUAUUGAUUUGCAGCAUUUCAAAUACAUUUGCAUAUGGUUCAUUUGAACUCGUGAAACCCAUUACUGAAGGCAUAUCGGUGUACAUUAUUUUCACUUUCCCAUAUUCAGUUGAUUUUAUUGACUUAACUACAGGUAGGUUUCUCAUCCUUCUCAAGCUUGCAGCUGUGAAGAAUUGCAUACAUGCCAUGCUUCUUCAAGUAUUAAAUGUCAGUGUAGAAAAAAUAAUGUUUUAAUGGGGCUUUGUUUGUAUGUCUUUGUCAGUCGCAUUAGUAGUGGACAGUUUUGUAAUUAGACAAUGUAAUAAGUUGAGGAGUCACAUUAGUGGUGGAUCCAGAAGGAGUCUUGGAGAGAUCCAGAAAUCUUGUUGGGGGUUUCCACGUAGGGAAACUUAAGGAAAUGGAUUUCUUUCCUAAGGAAAUUGCCAGGUCCCUGAACCCCUCUAUGUCUGCCACUGCCAUGUGAAAUUGAUAAUUCAGAUCAUAACUUUCUGGGCUAUUGUUGUGACAUGUAGUCACUGCAAGGCAGUCAAAUUUAUUAAAUAAAAAGGUCACUUUUUAUAUAGUUUGCAGUAAUGGGUAUACAAGGACUUGAACCAUCUUUUCAAUUCAUUUUACAUCAAGAUCAGUUCAUUUGUACAUAAAAGUGUAUUUCAUUUCAAUUGUACUUCAAGUUGCAGUGAAUGUACAUUAGCAGUUUUUGUGUUAAAUGAUACAUUCUAUAAAGUUUUCCCAAUCAUUUUGUACAUACCUUUUUUAUUUAUUAUCAUUUGUACUAUAGGUUUUUGUAUAUUUUGCUGUUGGUCCGGUUUAGGCAACCCAGUGAUUACAAGUACAUUGUAUCUCACUAGGAAGUGAUGCUCAACUCUUGAUUAUUGUAUGCUGGUGAAACCUUAGACUUGGUAUGGUGGUACUGAUCUCGCUGACCUUGUUGUCCAUGUCAGUGCUGCUUUCAUGUUAUUGGAUGCUGGUGAAACCUUAGACUUGGUAUGGUGGUACUGAUCUCGCUGACCUUGUUGUCCAUGUCAGUGCUACUAUCAUGUUACUGUAUGCUGGUGAAACCUCAGACUUGGUAUGGUGGUACUGGCUGACCUUGUUGUCCAUGUCAGUGCUACUAUCAUGUUAUUGUAUGCUGGUGAAACCUUAGACUUGGUAUGGUGGUACUGGCUGACCUUGUUGUCCAUGUCAGUGCUGCUAUCAUGUUAUUGGAUGUCCUUGAAGUUACAAAGAUAGCGAGGUUACAUGACAUUUUACAAAGUGGUUGUAAUAUCACAUUGAUGUGAUUGAUACUGAUAUAGGUCAGAUCAGUGACAAGAACUACAGGAUACUGUAUACUGAGGUCAGUGACAAGAACUACUGAGGUCAGUGACAGGAACUACUGAGGUCAGUGACAGGAACUACUGAGGUCAGUGACAAGAACUACAGGAGACUGUAUACUGAGGUCAGUGACAAGAACUACAGGACACUGUAUACUGAGGUCAGUGACAGGAACUACUGAGGUCAGUGACAAGAACUACAGGAUACUGUAUACUGAGGUCAGUGACAAGAAAUACAGGAUACUGUAUACUGAGGUCAGUGACAAGAACUACAGGAUACUGUAUACUGAGAAAGUUUUGUCCCAGUUAAACAUUCACCUUUUCUUCCUUCCAGAAUUUAUUGCAACAGUGAAAUUGCACAACAUACAAUAUAUAGUCAUUACAUAUGAAGGGUGAAAUGGAUACUGGGGAACAUGGAUUUUACCAGUGAAGGUGAGAGUUUGACUGGGCACGCGUUUACUGGUAUAUGGAACACAGUUCUUUGUCAUUGUGUUGUUGCAUGAAAGUAAUGAAUUAAUCUAUAUAAAUCAUCUGAACGGUAUCAAAUCAACUCAUUUUACUGCUGUAACACAUGUUUCAUUCCAUUACACAGUGAGAGAUAAAGAUAAAAAUUAGUUUAUAUAAAUGUCUAUAUCUGAAAUAAUCAUAUUGAAUAAAAAUUGAA